rnacentral:rRNA from 1 species
GAUGAACGCUGGCGGCGUGCCUAAUACAUGCAAGUCGAGCGAACAGACGAGGAGCCUGCUCCUCUGACGUUAGCGGCGGACGGGUGAGUAACACGUGGAUAACCUACCUAUAAGACUGGGAUAACUUCGGGAAGCCGGAGCUAAUACCGGAUAAUAUAUUGAACCGCAUGGUUCAAUAGUGAAAGACGGUUUUGCUGUCACUUAUAGAUGGAUCCGCGCCGCAUUAGCUAGUUGGUAAGGUAACGGCUUACCAAGGCAACGAUGCGUAGCCGACCUGAGAGGGUGAUCGGCCACACUGGAACUGAGACACGGUCCAGACUCCUACGGGAGGCAGCAGUAGGGAAUCUUCCGCAAAGGGCGAAAGCUUGACGGAGCAACGCCGCGUGAGUGAUGAAGGUCUUCGGAUCGUAAAACUCUGUUAUUAGGGAAGAACAAAUGUGUAAGUAACUAUGCACGUCUUGACGGUACCUAAUCAGAAAGCCACGGCUAACUACGUG